rnacentral:lncRNA from 1 species
GGGCAUGCAGCAGGAAGUCAAACAGAUGUUAGCCAGGCAGUCUUAGUAGGAAGGUGAUGAAUGAGGACAGGAGGCAGCAGCAAGCUUUGAUGGAGACACAUAAUGGAACUAAUACAAGCCCCUCUCCUCCCCUCCUGUUCUCCUCCCUGUCAAGAGGUGAACAGCUCAUAGAGGACUAGAGUCCAGGCUGCAACACAGACCCCAGCGUCCAUGAAAAGGAUCUGCAUCUGUGAUGGGAAGGAGAAGUUCAAUUGAAAGAUAUCAAAGGGCAAAAUGUUUCCAGAAAAUGACAAGCGGCCCCUAUGUC